CCUACGGGAGGCAGCAGUGAGGAAUAUUGGACAAUGGGCGCAAGCCUGAUCCAGCCAUGCCGCGUGCAGGAAGAAGCAUCUAUGGUGUGUAAACUGCUUUUGUACAGGAAGAAACACUCCCUCGUGAGGGAGCUUGACGGUACUGUAAGAAUAAGGACCGGCUAACUCCGUGCCAGCAGCCGCGGUAAUACGGAGGGUCCGAGCGUUAUCCGGAAUCAUUGGGUUUAAAGGGUCCGUAGGCGGUUUAAUAAGUCAGUGGUGAAAUCUGGUCGCUCAACGAUCAAACGGCCAUUGAUACUGUUAGACUUGAAUUAUAAGGAAGUAACUAGAAUAUGUAGUGUAGCGGUGAAAUGCUUAGAUAUUACAUGGAAUACCAAUUGCGAAGGCAGGUUACUACUUAUGGAUUGACGCUGAUGGACGAAAGCGUGGGGAGCGAACAGGAUUAGAUACCCUGGUAGUCCACGCCGUAAACGAUGGAUACUAGCUGUUCGGAGCAAUCUGAGUGGCUAAGCGAAAGUGAUAAGUAUCCACCUGGGGAGUACGUUCGCAAGAAUUGAAACUUCAAAGGAAUUGACGG
rnacentral:rRNA from 1 species